rnacentral:rRNA from 1 species
AUUGAACGCUGGCGGCAUGCCUUACACAUGCAAGUCGAACGGUAACAGGUUAAGCUGACGAGUGGCGAACGGGUGAGUAAUACAUCGGAACGUGCCCAGACGUGGGGGAUAGCUCGGCGAAAGCCGGAUUAAUACCGCAUGUGAUCUGAGGAUGAAAGCGGGGGACCGUAAGGCCUCGCGCGUUUGGAGCGGCCGAUGGCAGAUUAGGUAGUUGGUGGGGUAAAGGCUUACCAAGCCUACGAUCUGUAGCUGGUCUGAGAGGACGACCAGCCACACUGGGACUGAGACACGGCCCAGACUCCUACGGGAGGCAGCAGUGGGGAAUUUUGGACAAUGGGCGAAAGCCUGAUCCAGCAAUGCCGCGUGCAGGAUGAAGGCCUUCGGGUUGUAAACUGCUUUUGUACGGAACGAAAAGGCGCCUACUAAUACUGGGUGUUGAUGACGGUACCGUAAGAAUAAGCACCGGCUAACUACGUGCCAGCAGCCGCCGCGGUAA